rnacentral:sRNA from 1 species
GCCGGUUAGAAGCUCUGCUCCCCGGCGGGGACACUCAGUCGCGUCGGCACCGCGGAGCGGGCUGCGUCAGGUGGCUGGCCGGCGCGGCGCUCCCCUGCUCUCUGGCUCCGGACUGCGGCGCGGCGGCUGGAGCGAGCCCCUGUCCCGGCGCGGGGCGGCGGCGGGCGGCCGGCAGGCGCUGCCUUGCGUGUGAGUGCACCUCACUCACAUGUGCUGGAGAAUCUGGUAAAAGCACCAUUGUGAAGCAGAUGAGGAUCCUGCAUGUUAAUGGGUUUAAUGGAGAGGGCGGCGAAGAGGACCCGCAGGCUGCAAGGAGCAACAGCGAUGGCAGUGAGAAGGCAACCAAAGUGCAGGACAUCAAAAACAACCUGAAAGAGGCGAUUGAAACCAUUGUGGCCGCCAUGAGCAACCUGGUGCCCCCCGUGGAGCUGGCCAACCCCGAGAACCAGUUCAGAGUGGACUACAUUCUGAGUGUGAUGAACGUGCCUGACUUUGACUUCCCUCCCGAAUUCUAUGAGCACGCCAAGGCUCUGUGGGAGGAUGAAGGAGUGCGUGCCUGCUACGAACGCUCCAACGAGUACCAGCUGAUUGACUGUGCCCAGUACUUCCUGGACAAGAUCGAUGUGAUCAAGCAGGCUGACUAUGUGCCGAGCGAUCAGGACCUGCUUCGCUGCCGCGUCCUGACUUCUGGAAUCUUUGAGACCAAGUUCCAGGUGGACAAAGUCAACUUCCACAUGUUUGACGUGGGUGGCCAGCGCGACGAACGCCGCAAGUGGAUCCAGUGCUUCAACGAUGUGACUGCCAUCAUCUUCGUGGUGGCCAGCAGCAGCUACAACAUGGUCAUCCGGGAGGACAACCAGACCAACCGCCUGCAGGAGGCUCUGAACCUCUUCAAGAGCAUCUGGAACAACAG